rnacentral:tRNA from 1 species
CAGGGAGACAACAAAAUGUUUAAUAUUAUUAUUUUGUCACCUUAGGUCGAUCGGUACCUCACGUUCUUAAUUUAUUAAGAAUUUCACUUCCUAAGUUUUUCUAGGUCACACCCAUUAUUUUUCCUGGGCCAUUAGCUCAGGUGGUUAGAGCGCACCCCUGAUAAGGGUGAGGUCCCUGGUUCAAGUCCAGGAUGGCCCAUAUCUCUAUGUUGGGGGUAUAGCUCAGUUGGUAGAGCGCCUGCUUUGCAAGCAGGAUGUCAGCGGUUCGAGUCCGCUUACCUCCACUGAUUACCACCUCUUUCAUAUUCUGUGGAAAGGAAAUUUUUUGAGUUGUGCUUAAAUUCUGAACGAAUCCAGCUUCCUAAUGUAAUCAUUAAGAUGCUGGACUCAUUGAAUUAAUUUCAUUGUUUUCAGAGAACCUUGACAACUGCAUAGAUUAUUUAAAAGACAAUAAGCAUCUUGAAUGAUGCAGAUUUAUUAUUUGUGCGAAUGCAUUAAUAACAAUUCUAUUAAGCUGAUGCUUCAAUUUUGAAGUUAUU